rnacentral:sRNA from 1 species
ACCCACCGUGACCAAGAUCGGUAGGUGA